CGUGCUUAAUACAUGCAAGUCAACUGAAGCACCGGUAGUAAUACUGGUGUGGAGGUGGCGCACGGGUGAGUAACACGUAGGUAAUCUGCCUUCAGGUCUGACACGACCCCGAGAAAUCGGGGCUAAUAGCAGAUGAUGCAGCGGCUUGACAUCAAGACAGUUGUUAAAGCUUCGGCGCCUGAAGAUGAGCCUGCGUCUGAUUAGCUAGUUGGCGGAGUAAUGGCCCACCAAGGCUACGAUCAGUAACUGGUCUGAGAGGAUGAUCAGUCACACUGGAACUGAGACACGGUCCAGACUCCUACGGGAGGCAGCAGUAAGGAAUAUUGCUCAAUGGGAGAAAUCCUGAAGCAGCAACGCCGCGUGAGGGAUGAAGGGCUUUUGCUCGUAAACCUCUGUAGUGAGGGAAAAAUUUCCACUCUGUGGAAUAUGAUGGUACCUCAAAAGUAAGCCCCGGCUAACUACGUG
rnacentral:rRNA from 1 species